GUGGGGAAUAUUGCACAAUGGGCGCAAGCCUGAUGCAGCAACGCCGCGUGAGGGACGACGGCCUUCGGGUUGUAAACCUCUUUUAGCAGGGAAGAAGCGAAAGUGACGGUACCUGCAGAAAAAGCACCGGCUAACUACGUGCCAGCAGCCGCGGUAAUACGUAGGGUGCAAGCGUUGUCCGGAAUUAUUGGGCGUAAAGAGCUCGUAGGCGGUUUGUCGCGUCUGCUGUGAAAACCCGAGGCUCAACCUCGGGCCUGCAGUGGGUACGGGCAGACUAGAGUGCGGUAGGGGAGAGUGGAAUUCCUGGUGUAGCGGUGGAAUGCGCAGAUAUCAGGAGGAACACCGAUGGCGAAGGCAGAUCUCUGGGCCGUAACUGACGCUGAGGAGCGAAAGCGUGGGGAGCGAACAGGAUUAGAUACCCUAGUAGUCC
rnacentral:rRNA from 1 species